rnacentral:lncRNA from 1 species
UUGAAAUUGAUUUGAUUUAUACCGCGAAUUGUGUAGCAUUUUUCGUGCGAAUGUUUUUUCCCCGUUAAUUUCUUUUUCAUUACAUUUAUUAGUAGAAUUUAGAAAUAACUUACGUUAAAGUAUGUGCUUCAUUGAUAAUUUUAGCUAAUAAAUAAAGAAUUCUGCUUCGUCUAUGCCUUUAAUCCAAGUUUUAAAUAAAAGAGUGUUGUAAAAUAUGCGUGGGCAUUUAAUUUAAACUAGUCAUAUGGAAGUUGGGAAGCACUUCCGCAAAGGAUCCGUUAAAUGUAAACAUCGCCACAAAUGGCGAUAACGUUUUUUCUGAGGUUUUGUAAGGCAGAUUAUUUUAUAGUAUAAAGUAUAUUGCCGUUGUAACUGUUAAAAAUACAUAUUUUUCCUUUAUACCAUUUAGUUAAUAAGCAGAAAUCAGAAUUAUUUUGGUGCAAGAAAGCUGAAAGGACAAAAAGUAACAGACUGGCCGUAUUUCAUUUGUCUCUUUACCAGUCUUUCCAUUCUCAAGUUUGUAACAUCUCAUGAUUCAACAGGAUUGUGCUACUACGUCAUCUUCAGUAGUUAAUUCUACACUGCUGACAGAUACUACAGAUAAUACUUCUCAUAAAUAAUGGGUUCAGAAAAAAAGAAAGUACAUUUAACGAAGACAUAAAGGAAUACCAGUUUAUUGAAAAAACUUUAAGUGUUUCCGAUUUAUGGUGCAAUACUUUGCUGUGAACAUGUUCUUUAAAAAUUUCUAUAAAUUAUGGUGGACGUACAGAUAUUAAACUUCAUGUAAAUAGUAAUAAGCAUAAAAUAUCAAACUCUGCUGCUGCAUCUACCUCGUCAUUAAAGAAUUUCUUCAAAUAGAAGAAAAUGAGUGAUAAAGAAGAAUUAGCUGCAGUAGCGGGUACUUUUGCAUAUUAGUACUAUUUGCAACAACCAUAGCUUUAAGUCCAAGUAUAUUUAAGCUGCUUCAAGUGGCAUUUGAGCCUAAAUGUACAUAUGCGUGAAUCAAGGCCGGAACAAUAAUACUAAAUGUUUUCAUGCCUUAAAACUUUAACAGCUUUGCACAAUGAUUUGAGAAAAUGUUCAUUUGUUUCAACCUCAAGUGAUGUGUCCAGUCACAAGAAAAUAAAACUUUCUCCAAUACUUGUUAGAUUUAUAGAUAGGAUUAUUGGGUUAGAGUUAAAAUUUUAGAAUUUAAAUACUUACCUGGUUAAAACAUCCAAUAUUGUCAGCAACUAUUUAACUACCUGUCUUGAAGAAAAUAAUUUAAAGGAAGAAGUUGUUGGUUUUUGUGAAGGUAAUUCAAAUUCUAACUUUGGAGGAGCUGAUACAUGUGGAAAAAAUAAUGUUUUUGUUAAAGUGAAACAAAAUCUUAAUCAGGGUUUAAUUGGACUCAGAUGUGCAAAGCAUAAUAUAACACAUCCAUAACACUAUAAGAACAUGAGCUGAUGUUUUGCUGGUUGAUAAAGAAGUGAUUAUUUCUAAGAUAUACUUUAAAUCUUAUACUGUUAGAGGAGAAAUAUUGAAAAAUUUCUGUAAUUUUGUAGAAAAUUAUUUUCCAAUAAUACUAGUGUAUUCACAAAUAUGUUAUGAUUUGGUUAUGCAUUAUUUUGUUGUGUACAAUCGUUAUAUUAUUUUACUGUGUUUAAUGAAUUUGUAUUGUUCUUAUUUAAAAAUUAAUGUUUAAUAUUUAGUAUUGUUUAAACUUUUCGUUCAUUUACGGCAAAGCUCUUUGAAGUUUAGCCGAAGAUGUGAUUCAGAAAAAAGGGCGCGGGUGUAUUUCCAUUUCUCACGAGUCAGCUUCUUGUGGGGAGGGGGUCAGGGGUUAGAGUGCCUAUCUGCAAUUUCCUCUUUUCGCGGGGUUGACCACAUAUAUAGGGUGUGGAGGCGAGAAAGUAUUUCGGCCUUUCCGAAGUGGAGAACUGGGUAACUUGUUUAUUACUAAGAAUGUCGCAAGUUUAACUGAAUUACGAUUGGAAACAUUCCGCUGUUGCGCGGGAAAAGAAAGGGUCUGUCAUUUUGUGAGAAAGUCUGGAUUUCUGCGAAUUCUAGAGGCUAUUUAUUGCCUCUGUUAUAAGUGGCUAGAGGGAGUCCAAGUUUCUUUAAGAUUGGCUAAUUUUUAAUUUUAGUAUUUUUUGAGCCAAUAGUGAAUUAGAGAUGUUUACAUUGUGAGUUUCAACUGAAUUUUCUUAAGCCGUUACACGUAAGGAGGAAGAUGAUUUUAGACCGAAAGAAGAUUUUUGACUGAAUUUGGUUUAGCAGGCUGUCCAGAGCCUUAGCGGGUUUGAUUCCUUGACGGCGGUCCCUUCGGGGGCGGCCGCGGUUGUUGAUGUGCUGUUGCACUGAUCAGUGGGUGAUGGCAGAAUUUUUUUUAUCAGUGGCCGAUGGCAGAGUUUUUGUGCAAGUUCUGACCAACUUUUCUGAGUGGGAGCGGAGAAAAAGGAAACGCGGCGACCCUUUCGGGGUCGACCGUGGGUUGCAAUUAAGGGGUAUUACCGCGUCCCCUUGGUUCUGAUUGCAGAGAACUGUCCAAGCCGUGCGGACUCUCAUCGUGAUAGACGGCAGGGAAUUUCCUGUCCUGCGACAUAAUGGUGUUGGUUUCAUCAUGAUGGUUUUUAGUAGAAAGAGACAGAUUUUCUGAUGGAAUGGAAUAUGAAAUAACAGCAUGUCUUCUUUUCCUGUUAUAAUCCCAAAUUGUUUGCGCCAAAGAUACAUAUUUUGUGAUGAUAAUAUUGAAUAAAGGGAGUGGCUUCUUCCAAGUAUAAUUUUGAAGGUUUCGUGCUGAAGAUGCAGAUUAUUGCAGAUUAUUCUCUUGUCUGUUUGUCUGCUUUUAUCCACUGCAUCAGCACGAACAUUUCAAAGGUUGAUUUUAAAGUUAAAAUGCAGAUCCUGGUCAGAGUAGUGCUGGAACUAUGAGAAAAUACCUGUGGUGGUUUGAAAAGCCUCCAGUAUCUGUUUCCCAGACAACGAUGAAUUUGAACGGUUUUGUUCCGACAUUUUGUGACUGGAUCCGGGCAGCUUCCCGAGUUCCUCAGAUUUGUGUACAUGGAUUCCGUGAGCAAACAUUUUUAUUUUCAUUUUGCUUUUCUUUUAUAAGUAAUCGUUAGAAUUUUGGAAGAGUUAAAUUCUAACGCCUUAGCUGACCUUUUAUAUAGAUUAAAAUUAGUAUUUUGCUACUAAUCAAUUAAUUAAUAGUUGAGAAAGUUUUAUGAGUAAUUAAUAGUUGAGAAAGUGUUAUGAAUAAUAAAUAGUUGAGAAAGUGUU